rnacentral:rRNA from 1 species
AAUAGAUACCCAGGUAGUCCAUGCCGUAAACGUUGGGAACUAGAUGUAGGGCCUGUUCCACGGGUUCUGUGUCGUAGCUAACGCAUUAAGUUCCCCGCCUGGGGAGUACGGCCGCAAGGCUAAAACUCAAAGGAAUUGACGGGGGCCCGCACAAGCGGCGGAGCAUGCGGAUUAAUUCGAUGCAACGCGAAGAACCUUACCAAGGCUUGACAUAUAGAAGAACGGGUCAGAAAUGAUCAACUCUUUGGACACUUCUAUACAGGUGGUGCAUGGUUGUCGUCAGCUCGUGUCGUGAGAUGUUCGGUUAAGUCCGGCAACGAGCGCAACCCUCGUCCUAUGUUGCCAGCGGUUCGGCCGGGAACUCAUGGGAUACUGCCGUGGUCAACACGGAGGAAGGUGGGGAUGACGUCAAAUCAUCAUGCCCCUUAUGUCUUGGGCUUCACGCAUGCUACAAUGGCCGGUACAAAGGGUUGCGAUACCGUAAGGUGGAGCGAAUCCCAAAAACGCCGGUCUCAGUUCGGAUUGGGGUCUGCAACUCGACCCCG